rnacentral:tRNA from 1 species
CAUUCUGUAGCUCAGUUGGUUAGAGAGCUGCACCGCAAUCGCAGGGCCACACAGGUUUGAUUCCUGCCAGAGGGU